rnacentral:piRNA from 1 species
UCUGAAAAACACUGUUCUGAGGC